UACGUAGGGGGCAAGCGUUGUCCGGAAUCAUUGGGCGUAAAGCGCGCGUAGGCGGCCCGAUAAGUCCGCUGUAAAAGUCCAGGGCUCAACCCUGGAAAGCCGGUGGAUACUGUCGGGCUCGAGUCCGGAAGAGGCGAGUGGAAUUCCUGGUGGAGCGGUGAAAUGCGCAGAUAUCAGGAGGAACACCCGUAGCGAAGGCGGCACUCUGGGCCGAUACUGACACUGAGGAGCGAAAGCGUGGGGAGCGAACAGG
rnacentral:rRNA from 1 species